CCUACGGGGGGCAGCAGUGGGGAAUAUUGCGCAAUGGGCGAAAGCCUGACGCAGCGACGCCGCGUGAGGGAUGACGGCCUUCGGGUUGUAAACCUCUUUCAGCAGGGACGAAGCGAAAGUGACGGUACCUGCAGAAGAAGCACCGGCUAACUACGUGCCAGCAGCCGCGGUAAUACGUAGGGUGCAAGCGUUGUCCGGAUUUAUUGGGCGUAAAGAGCUCGUAGGCGGUCUGUCGCGUCGGAUGUGAAAACUUGGGGCUCAACCCUGAGCUUGCAUUCGAUACGGGCAGACUAGAGGAUGGCAGGGGAGACUGGAACUCCUGGUGUAGCGGUGGAAUGCGCAGAUAUCAGGAAGAACACCGGUGGCGAAGGCGGGUCUCUGGGCCAUUACUGACGCUGAGGAGCGAAAGCGUGGGGAGCAAACAGGAUUAGAUACCCGAGUAGUC
rnacentral:rRNA from 1 species